rnacentral:rRNA from 1 species
UGACGGGUAACGGAGAAUUAGGGUUCGAUUCCGGAGAGGGAGCCCGAGAAACGGCUACCACAUCUAAGGAAGGGCGCAGGGCGCGCAAUUACUUUUUUCCGACACAGGGCGGUAGUGACAAGAAAUAACAGGGGCGGGUCUCUUUGAGAAUAUGCAUCUGGAAUGAUUUGGAUGUAAAUAUCGCUUGGACUAUCAAUUGGAGGGCAAGUCUGGUGGCCGCAGCCGCGGUAAUUCCCAGCUCCUUAGUGUAUAUUAAAGUUGUUGCGGUUAAAAAGCUCGUAGUUGGAUUUCUGUUGGGUAUCGCGUGGUCUGCUCCUCGAGUACGUAUCUGCGUCGAUCCUGGCAUCCUCGCAACGCUCUGUGGGAUUAAUUUGCUGGCUGGCUUGCGACUUUUACUUUGAGGAAAUUAGAGUGUUCACGGCCGGGAUUUGCUUUGAAUAUAUUA